rnacentral:rRNA from 1 species
CGUGAGGGAAAGGUGAAAAGGACCCCGGGAGGGGAGUGAAAGAGAACCUGAAACCGUGGACCUGCAAGCGGUCAGAGCCCGAGAGGGUGAUGGCGUGCCUUUUGUAGAAUGAGCCUGCGAGUCUUCGUAUGCAGCGAGGUUAAGGCAUAGGAGUGCCGGAGCCGAAGGGAAACCGAGUCCGAAAUGGGCGUACAGUUGCAUGCGGAGGACCCGAAGCCAAGUGAUCUAUCCAUGGCCAGGCUGAAGCUGGAGUAGAAUCCAGUGGAGGGCCGAACCUAAAUCCGCUGAAAAGGGUUGGGAUGAGCUGUGGAUCGGAGCGAAAGACUAAACAAACUUGGAGAUAGCUGGUACUCCCCGAAAUAGCUUUAGGGCUAGCCUUGCGUGGACAGUCAUGGAGGUAGAGCACUGAAUGGAUGAGGGCCCUUCACCGGGUACCGAUUUCAAUCAAACUCCGAAUGCCAUGACCCAAUGCGCAGGAGUCAGACGGCGACUGAUAAGGGCCGUCGUCGAAAGGGAAACAGCCCAGACCGCCGGCCAAGGUCCCCAAUGUGUGCCAAGUGGGAAAGGAAGUCCGAUUGCGAAGACAGCCAGGAGGUUGGCUCAGAAGCAGCCACACCUUCAAAGAGUGCGUAACAGCUCACUGGUCGAGUAGCCGGGCGCCGACAAUUCAACGGGGCUAAGCACACAACCGAAGCCGCGGCUCAGUACUUUGUACUGGGGGUAGGGGAGCAUUCCAUGUACGGACGAAGGUGCGCCGCAAGGCGAGCUGGACGGGAUGGAAGAGAGAAUGCAGGCAUGAGUAACGAAAAGAUGGGUGGGAUCCCCAUCCGCCGAAAGCCUAAGGUUUCCAGGGUAAAGGUAAUCUACCCAAGGGUUAGUCGGCCCCUAAGGCGAGGACGAAGGUCGUAGCCGAUGGGAAACGGGUCAACAUUCCCGUACCUCUCAACGAAUCGAUGGGACGAAGCAUAGGGCGAAGCGCAGCGGGGCGACGGUUGUCCCCGUCCAAGCGUCCGAGCGGAGGAGGCCUCCAGGCAAAUCCGGAGGCUGACGCGAGGCGCGAACGCGAGCGGACCUACGGGCGAGCGAAGUGCGUGACGUCGUCGUGCCGGGAAACAGUCUCUAAGGUGCGUCGUUGAGGGACCGUACUACAAACCGACACAGGUGGGCGAGCUGAGAAUGCGAAGGCGUACGGAAGAACUUGCGUUAAGGAACUCGGCAAAAUGCAUACGUAACUUCGGGAUAAGUAUGGCCGCGAGAGCGGCUGCAGAGAAACGGCCCAUGCGACUGUUUACCAAAAACACAGGUCCAUGCGAACCAGCAAUGGGAAGUAUAUGGACUGACACCUGCCCGGUGCUGGAAGGUUAAGGGGAGUCGUCAGCGCAAGCGAAGCGGCGAACCGAAGCCCCAGUAAACGGCGGCCGUAACUAUAACGGUCCUAAGGUAGCGAAAUUCCUUGUCGGGUAAGUUCCGACCCGCACGAAUGGUGUAACGAUAUGGGCGCUGUCUCAACGCAAGAUCCGGUGAAAUUGAAGUCCAGGUGAAGAUGCCUGGUACCUGUGGUUAGACGGAAAGACCCCGUGAACCUUUACUUCAACUUAGCAUUGAUGACUGAUCCGUCUUGUGUAGGAUAGGUGGGAGCCGGAGAUCCGUGGCCGUCAGGCUGCGGGGAGGCGACGGUGAAAUACCACCCUGGACGGUUCAGUCCUCUAACCCUCGCCGUGAUCCGGUGCGGGGACAAUGCUAGGCGGGAAGUUUGACUGGGGCGGUCGCCUCCCAAAGGGUAACGGAGGCGCGCGAAGGUCACCUUAGUCUGGUUGGGAAUCAGACGUCAAGUGCAAAGGCACAAGGUGGCUUGACUGCGAGGCUCACAGGCCGAGCAGGUACGAAAGUAGGUCUUAGUGAUCUGGCGGUGGCAAGUGGAAGCGCCGUCACUUAACGGAUAAAAGGUACUCCGGGGAUAACAGGCUGAUCUUGCCCAAGAGUUCACAUCGACGGGGAGGUUUGGCACCUCGAUGUCGGCUCAUCGCAU